UCUCAGGGACUUGGAAUUUGUAAUGUGUAGUUGGAUUCUAGAUGGGAUUUGUAGAUGGACACAGGAUACGUGGAGCCCAUAAGUUAUCCUGCAGCCCUUUCACUUUCAUCCUAACUUUCUUUUAGUUGCAGAAGGAUAAAUCCAGGGCAGAGCCCCCCAUUCUGGGUGAGGGGAUUCCCCUGUGAAGGUCAGUCACUGUUUGUCUCUGCAGAGGAAGCAUAAAUUGUGGCUGCUGCAGCUCUGCUCUUUGUCUUUAUUUUUAGGAAGUCAAGGCAGAGAGCAGCUGUCAAGGCUGAGUGGGCAAGAUGGACUGCUUGCCAUCUAUCCUAGCCCAGCAUGCCCAUGCCAGGUGCUGUCGCUGCCCUAGGCAUGCCGGGGAAGAGAGGAGGGCAGGUGACUCGGAGUUUAGGCGGGCUGAUUCCUAGGUGAGCGUUAUGCAGCAGCAUGCUAAGUGUGUACAUUUUCUUUUUGCAGGUA